rnacentral:rRNA from 1 species
CGGACGGGUGAGUAACGCGUGGGGAACCUGCCUUGCACCGGGGGAUAACACUUAGAAAUAGGUGCUAAUACCGCAUAAGCGCACAGAGCCGCAUGGCUCAGUGUGAAAAACUCCGGUGGUGCAAGAUGGACCCGCGUCUGAUUAGCUGGUUGGCGGGGUAACGGCCCACCAAGGCGACGAUCAGUAGCCGGCCUGAGAGGGUGAACGGCCACAUUGGGACUGAGACACAGCCCAAACUCCUACGGAAGGCAGCAG